AGACAGGUGGAGUCUUGGGUUUGGGUGUCAGACCCUGCAGGUUUCCGUCCUCUGCCUGUGUUGGUUUCCUGGGGUCGCGUCACGGACUCCCACACACGGGGUGGCUCCACACAGGGAAUGGACGCUCUCCCCAUGGCGGAGUCCAGCACUCCCAGAUGGAGGUGUCUGCAGGGCCAUGAUCCCCCUGGAGACUCUUCGGGGCCCUUCCUUGUCUCUUUCAGGUUCUGGGGGCUCCAGGCAAACCUGACCGGGGCUGCCCCGAUCCAAUUCCGCUGCCUCUGCGUCUCCUUUCCCUCUGUCUGUGGAAAACCCCUCAGCCUCCCUUUGGAAUGGGCAUGGGUUUGGCACUCAGACACCCCCAGGUGGCCUGGGCAGCUCUCCCACUCUCAAGGCCCUAAUCUUUUCCCUCUAAAGAUCCUUUUUCCUUCUCCACGGAAGGUCUCAUUCACAGGUUCCAGGGACUCAGAUAUCUUUCAAGGAAUCAGUUUUCAGCCUUCCACAUCGCCAUGAACUGUCUUGAAAUAAAACCUCAAAUCCUAUAAUAUUUAUUGUCAAGAAGAGACACCUCUCAAUAACGGUGAAAUCCUGUGAUCAGCGAAAUAAGUAUGUCAUGCAAUUUCAUAUGCAUUUUCUGACUCCCCCAUCGGGGUUCAAAAUGCAAUACCCCAAAUGCAACACCUUGGAGAACGGCCUGCUUUGAGCUGAGGGAGACCCGGAAGUCCACAGAAGCGAGAAGUCCUCUCUGGCCUUCACCCUCCUUCUCCCCACAAAAGGCAUAAUGGAAACUAGGGCUCUUCUCCCUGAAAGCAAAAGCCAUAAAACUGGGAGGGUAGCUCUCUGCCUCCCUGCUUCUCCCAGGAAAGGCCUCGAGUGUCCGUGUCCUGCCCAGCACCCAGGGGACGAUCCCAGCACAGAUCCAAGAAGGAUUCUGCUAAGGGGCCUGGCCGGGCUCCCGGCUCACCAGCUCCAGGACAUGCGUUUCUGUCCACUCUUAGAACUCCCUGGCUCCUGCUUCCUUCCUCAGGCUUAGCAGAAGAAUUCCGUUUCCCGGGGCCUUGGGUCCUCAUGUGUGGUACAAGGCCUUGGCUAAACACGCGUGCCAUGCCCUCCUCUUGUCGGUGUGAGUGUCCACCACGAGCCUUGCAACAGGAGCGAGUUUCAUCCCAGGUUGGGCCCAGUCCCCAGGGCCAGCACCUGUCCGCGGAGGACCUCUAGUCCUCAGUCCUGAUGGCAGCUGCAACUCAAGCUCUCACGUGGCUCCCAUUGAGAAGUUUCAUGAGAUAAUCCAAGCAGAGAGAUGACUACAGUGCCCGCCCAUAGUAGUUACUCAGUGGCUUCUAGGUCCUUCUCACGGAAACCGGACUGACACUCCUGAGGCUGCAGGGCAGGUAAGCCUUGGCCCAGAGGGAGGCAGAGAGCAGCCAUAUGGUGCAGAACAGGCAUGGUGCAGAGGUGGACGCACAUUUUCCAGAUUGGUUCUAAUUUUUCAGGGCAUCCGUUUUGUGCUGUGGCCCCACCCCAGCCAGGUAAAUAGAGACAAGUUCCACCUGCCAUAGGAUCCCCCGCCCCCUCUCCAGACACAUGACACCUGCUGCUUCUCUUCUGCAGCUGACAGCAGGGCUUCUCCUGGUGGGUCCCCAGCCCUCCAUCAGCCCCUGGCUUCGGGCACUCACCCCAGCCCAUCUCAUGUGGCACUGUUGGCGCAAAGAUGUCCCUGCUACGGGAGCCCACUCCUGUAGACCAGCAGAGCCUGACUGAGCUGGACCCGUUGGGCUGGAGGACUUUGCCACGGUUCUGUUGAGUCAACUGACCUGCCUGACGAUACUGCUACUGCUGUCACCCAGUGUGCAACCACAGGCCCCGUGCCCGCGUUUCACAGCUAAGGAAUAGCAGAUCCUGUGCGAGGAGGGAAGGAAGGAAGGAAGGAAGGGAGAAAUGGAGGGAGGCAAGGAGGGAGGAAAGGGGAAAGGGAGAGACAGAGCGCAGGGCUGCUGGGCGGAGAGACCUGGGCCGGGCCAGGCCAGGCUUGGCCGUGUGAGGAGCACCUGUCCUUCAGGAAGGGACCUUGGAGAUCAGGGAGCAGGCUGCUGACAAACGACUUAUUUCUCCUCCCUCUGAACUCCCAAAUUCCCAGAAAUCUGCCUCGGAAGUGGGGAGAGCGGAGAGGCUGUGAGGUUGGACCGAGGGGGGCCACGGUCUCACCAUCCAUCCCACGUGGGCCACCCCUGGACGCUUCGUUCGCAAGCCUGGUACUGUCCUAAGACGUGGUUUGAUUUUUAAGGGCGGAGAGACGGGCUCAGCCGCUGGAAUGACGCUUUCCGCUGCUGGUGGAAUCCAGCCCCUCCGUCUUUGGGGGAUGUGGGGUCUCUGCCUCCUGCAGUGACAGCGCGAGGAUGACCCGGCCCGGCCUCCCGCUCCCCAGCGCGGGCACCUGCGGCCGGAGACGCGGCUCUGCAGCGCCACCUAGCGGCCGCCCUGCGUCUUCCCAAAGCGGAGCCUUAGGACAAAGCUUCCUUUCCAGGAGGUCCCUGCAGGUUUCUGCGGAGCCGGAGUCUGAAUCACUGUCUCCCGAGUGACUCCUAACCCUGGAAACUCGCUGCCGCUCCUUGGGGCUGGUGGUCGUGCCAGUUGCUGCGUCAGAGCAGUUGGGUGCCCACAGGCUGAGGACGCCGGGGCCAGGGUGAGGGUGAGGCUCCACCCCAGGGCUCCAGAGACCCUGAAUUUUGCACUUGACUCUCCUUAAUCUCUCCCAAAGCCUGAUCCUUCUCAUCCCCCUGAGGGCCUGAGGGCCCCUACCUGCAUGAUGGAGGGGUGGGGUGCCACGAUCUUAAAGACCUUCCAGUUCCCAGGGUGACAAGAUUCUAACCACGUUGCACAUGGAACACUUUUCGGUGCAAUGACCCCAAACAACAUCCCGGCCUGUGCAGUUCCCACUCGCAGAGAUCCAAAAGUCGGUGGGUGACGACCCACGUGUGAAAAGGGCGCUAGAGAGCUGCCUGCAGUCUCAUGUCCCCCCACCCCCUGCCCUCCGCGUGCUCAGCACCUGAACGUCUUCACAGAGACAGGGCAGAGUCUGUUUAAAAGGAAGCUCCGACAGUCUCCCUAGGAAGAAACGGCGCCACCUCAGGCACGUGGACGAUUUCUGGGGAUGGAAUUGUCGCAAUGACGAGGAAAUCCCCUGUGGUUUAAUGGGCAGAGUCCCAAGGUGCUUGACAUCCUGACCAGCACAGGGCAGCCACCUCCUGCAGAAGCUGAAAAAACGGCAAGAAAAAUAGACCCAUAACUAGUUUGAGUAGUUGUAAUGUGCACUGAGACAAAAAGUCUUUACACUUUUUUUUUUUUUUCUUUUUGAGAUGGAGUCUCACUCUGUCGCCCAGACUGGAGUGCAGUGGCGUGAUCUCGGCUCACUGCAACCUCUACCUCCCAGGUUCAAGCAAUUCUCCUGCCUCAGCCUCCCUAGUAGCUGGGAUUACAGGUGUGUGCCACCACGCCAGCUAAUUUUUGUAUUUUUAGUAAGAUGGGGUUUCACCAUGUUGGCCAAGCUGGUGUCUAUCUCCUGGCCUCAGAUGAUCUGCCCACCUCGGCCUCCCAAUGUGCUGGGAUUACAGGCAUGAGCCACUGCACCUGGCCCUUUUCACAAUUUUAAUUGCACUAAACUUUCAUAGAAGGCUGACAGCACAUAAACACGAUUAUGUGUCUUUGCAGUGCUCAAGCUUCAAUACUGAGAAUCCAAAAAUAUGAUGAAGUGUAGAGUUUAUUCGAACAUGAAGUUUGAGGAUAGCCACAUAGGAAACAGAGACUCCCAAAAUGGAAAGUUAAAGUCUCAUUUACAUAGUCAGAGGCAGAGGUUUGACAGGUUGCAGCCUUUUCCAACAAGAUCAGGACAUAGGUUAUAGUGAUUGAACUUGAUUGGUCAUAGCUCGCUAUACUUUAAGGAAGAUUGUUUUAACAUUCCAUAAAGAAGGGUAAUGGUCUUGAGGGGAGUCUCACUUCUGGUGCUAUUCAGUCUUUCCUAAUCAUUACAGGACAAGAAUGAGGGAGAGAUUUGACCCGGAAUAAAGAAGUAGAAGGUACAGCUUCAUGCCAUGCGACACAGGCCCCACCGCCACAUUCCUCUCAAGGCUCAAAAUCAGGUACAGUUCUGACAGCUUUCAAUUUGGAUUAUUUAAUUUCACAUCUCCCCCUUUUCAACAUGAUCUUUUGAAGAAGGCUUAGUAGCUGAACGCAGAUGGUUUGGGAUCUCUGUCUGUGUAGGGGCUUAGUCCCACACACCUAGAAGGUUCAUUCCUAGGACGUUGUCUCCCAUGGCUAGGGCCAUGUGCCAAGCUAUGCAGAACUGAUGGGGUAUAGGCCGAACCUGGAGCCACAUGAGGGAAGUGACGUGGUGACCUGGGUCAGGCUGCACAGCUGCAUCCUCCGUUAAUGGGAUUCUGUGAGUGACAAUUAUUUUAGUAUCUUCAGUUGUGGAUUGACUCCAUUGCACACCACACAGUGAAGACAAAACAGGCUAGAACCCAGCCAACGACUGAUUAACAGCUUCUUCCGCCAAGUUCCCCAAGACCCACACCAGUUGCUUAACCAACUGUGUGGAGAGGGUGUUGGAUCUGAAAGUUUGGUUAUUGGGUUUUCAUAUCAGUAUUUAAUUUAAGGUCAUUAUCUGAGUCAUCUGGGUUCGGGACAUGACGUUCAGUCUUUGUGAUGGUUCCCUCUGCAGCUGCAGCGAGUCUGAGGCCAUAGGAGCCUGUAAUGCAGCCUUUCUCAUAAAAGCAUCUUCGCUGUUUAUUAACGCGGCACACGUGACUAUCAUUCGGGGCCUUUUUCAGUUCGGAGGGACACUGUCCUUCCCUUCUGGGACUUACCUCGUCCUCCUAGAGGACCUUUUAUAAUUCUGGUCACUCAAGAAGAGAGUUUAGAUUUGUUUAUUGAGUCGGCCUUCAGAAUCUGGCCAGUUUUGAACAUUACACAUUUUGCUCAAUCCACAAAGCUUCAAUUUCUCUUUUCAAAGAGAAACUGUUUUCUCCCUGACCAAAAUUUCAAAUGGGAGAAAAAGUUCUAGAAACUCUAAUGAGUAAUUCAAAACAGAACCUUAACCUCUGAAAAAAAAAAUCAAAGUCUUGAAUCUGGGGUCAGCAGAAUCCCUGAAGAAUAACAAACAAAACCCCAAACUUGCAGUAGGUCUUCCAACCCUAUCAAGUUAGCAAUUUGUGUGGCUCAAAUAAAAGUCAGAACUUCAACAAGCUGGGAGGUUCGGACCCGAGAAGGUCCUUCCCAGAGGUCCCUGUUGACUUGAGCGAGGCCAGGUGAACCCACACCGUGUGUGCUGACAGCAUGGCUCUGGCUGUUGGUGAUGUAACAGGGAUCACUGGAGGCCCACUUCACAUCCCUUUGUGGUUAGCAAAAUGUCAAUCUUUAAUCAUGAAAUUUGGAAAAGGUGAUUCAGUAUGGAGUUUAUUUGAGUGUGAAACUUGAGGGUCGUCACCUGGGAAACAUAGACUCUAGACGAAUGGGCUCUGCUUUUAAAGUGAGAAGUUAAAGUUUCAUGUUAUAAGUAGAGACAGAAGUAUAACAGGGCUGCGGCCUGUUCCAAGGAGGUCACAAGUUAAAUCUGUUUCACUUGAUUGCUCACAGCUUGCUACAUUCCAAGGAAACUCACUUUAACUUUCCACAAAGAGGGGUCAUCCUCUGGAGGGGUCUCACCUCUGGUGCCAUUCAGUCCUUCCUAAUCAUUUACAGGACAAGAAUGGGGAAGAGAUUUGACCUAGAAUCAAAGAAGUUGCAGCUUCACACCAUGUGACUCAGGCCACACAGCCACGUUCCUCUCAAGGUGCAAAAUGAUCUUAACUUUCAACAGCUUUAGGUCUGAAUUAUUUAAUUUCACAGGGACUUUAUACCAAGGUUUUCCACAUUGCACAAAGAUCACCACACCUUCCAAAACCCUGCUCAGGAUGUCUUAGUCACUCCUUCAAAAUAGGAACUGGAAAUAAAAAGCAUUGAGACUGUUUUGUUGACAAUUGCUUUACUUCGUUUUUAUCUUCAUUAGCAGGCAUUAGGCAACCGUAACCAACCUUCUAGGCAGUUGUCAAUGAUCACUGUCAUAUUAAAGUGCAUGUUAUAUAUUAUAAAUUUCCUUCACUUUAUUUCUCCUUUAUCUUACAGCAUUAUGUUGAUUUUUUUAACUAUAUGGAAAGUGAAGUUACAUGAGCUAUAAAUUCCCCAUUACAUGAUGAAGCCACAUUACAAAAGACUCGCUGUAUUAGAAGAGGGCAGUGGAAAGUCUUGUUUAAAAUUUAGUGCUAAAAUUCUCACUAAAAUGUAAGUCACUGAUAGUGUCCCUUUGCCUCAGAAGAGACAUAGAAAUAAGAGGGGUAAGUUUGGGGGUUGCACAGACAAUGCUUGCUGAAGUUUUCUAUCCUUCCCUGAGCCUCGGGGAUGGAGCUGGGGUCAUACCAGGUGGCUUUCUGGAUAUCAUCACUUCUUCCUCCCAGAAGCCGCAUUGGAUGUGUGCGUACAUAUGUAUGUGUGAUGCAUGUGUGUGGUGUAUGUGGUGUGUGCAUGUAUGAUGUGUAUGUGGUA